rnacentral:rRNA from 1 species
AACGAACGCUGGCGGCAUGCCUAACGCAUGCAAGUCGAACGAAGCCUUCGGGCUUAGUGGCGCACGGGUGCGUAACGCGUGGGAAUCUGCCCUUUGGUUCGGAAUAACAGUUGGAAACGACUGCUAAUACCGGAUGAUGACGAAAGUCCAAAGAUUUAUCGCCAGAGGAUGAGCCCGCGUAGGAUUAGCUAGUUGGUGUGGUAAAGGCGCACCAAGGCGACGAUCCUUAGCUGGUCUGAGAGGAUGAUCAGCCACACUGGGACUGAGACACGGCCCAGACUCCUACGGGAGGCAGCAGUGGGGAAUAUUGAACAAUGGGCGAAAGCCUGAUCCAGCAAUGCCGCGUGAGUGAUGAAGGCCCUAGGGUUGUAAAGCUCUUUUACCCGGGAUGAUAAUGACAGUACCGGGAGAAUAAGCCCCGGCUAACUCCGUGCCAGCCGCCGCGGUAA